rnacentral:rRNA from 1 species
AAAACGACUCUCGGCAACGGAUAUCUCGGCUCUCGCAUCGAUNAANAACGUAGCA